CGCAUUAUCAGUGGUGUGGUUAAGACAUCUCAGAUGCAUCCAAAGGUCAGCCUAGUGGUUCGGAAACAUCUAAAAGAACACAGGGAAGAUAAAUUGAAGAGAAAAGGCCAGCUAAAAGAAAUUCACAUAUGAGCUUCUCCAUUCAAAGGUGAGAAUUUGACAAUGGAAAAGCAUCACUAAAUAUCCUCCACUCUACAAUUCUGACCAUGAUCCGCAAUGUGCCUAGGUUAGUGGAAAUUGCUGUAUCCUCACCACAGUCUCCUUCCUAUCCAUUCAACAAGAAUUUGGCUUCCUCCCGAGUCUGCCACUAAAAGGCGUCCUGAUUAAUGUAAUACAUUGAGAAUUCAUCAAAAUUACUGGAUAUUUCCACGCAAAAAAAAUUACUCAAUUUUGUUUUCUUCUUCAUGGGCAUUAUUUCGAAACCGAAGGCUGAAUAAAAUACAUAAACACGUGAUGAGACUAAGCAAUGUUGCAACAAUCUAAACAAGAUCAAAGUGCUCCAAAACAAGAUUUUUAAAGACCAUAAAGAACCCUAACUUCCUUACCAUGACAAGAAGAACCUAUCAUUCCCAUCAUCGAUCUCAUGCCCACCUCCAUCGUAGGAGCCCCCAUCGCCCCGCCCACCGUACCCACCAUCACGGCCAACGGAGCUAUCAGAACCAUCGUCUGAAGCGGCUUGAUACCGCGCACGGAAUCGAGACCCUUUGGCCCAA
rnacentral:lncRNA from 1 species